CUAUUCUCUCAAGAGCCGGAGAAAGUUUACUUGGAAGUACUGCAUUAGACAUAUAAAUGGUUCCCUGGUAAAAUCAGACGUAGAGCGACAAAGAAUGAUUCAAUGUCUUGAAGCAGCAAUAGAAAGAAGGGUAUCUGAGUGAAGAAGCUCUGGUAGAGAGUAGACGUUGCAAUUGCUGAAAGCUUUGAGAAGAUUCACUGUAGCAAAAGCAGCUGUCGAGGAAACCAAAACAAUAAGAAUUGUUAAAGAAAAACUAGAGGGACUAUGACUGGAGUUUCGAAUGCAGUAAAGGAAAAGGCAGUGGAAGUAUUCAUUAGUGAGAGGUGUCCCUUCGAUGAUUGCGCUUAGUGAAGUUCUUACCAUGGAAAUAAUAAGAAUCCAUACAAACAUAACCAAACAUUCUAUGGACAGCUUCAAUCGAAUGGCACCAAUGUGAUGCCG